GUCCGGGAAGAUCCCACAUGCCGCAGAGCGGCUGGGCCCGUGAGCCAUGGCUGCUGAGCCUGAGCGUCCAGAGCCUGUGCUCCGCAACGGGAGAGGCCACAACAGUGAGAGGCCCACGUACUGCCAAAAAAAAAAAAAAAAUAGAAAACACUCCCAUUUACCAUUGCAACAAAAAGAAUAAAAUAUCUAGGAAUAAACCUACCUAAGGAGACAAAAGACCUGUAUGCAGAAAAUUAUAAGACACUGAUAAAAGAAAUUAAAGAUGAUACAAACAGAUGGAGAGAUAAUACCAUGUUCUUGGAUUGGAAGAAUCAAUAUUGUGAAAAUGACUAUACUACCCAAAGCAAUCUACAGAUUUAAUGCAAUCCCUAUUAAACUACCACUGGCAUUUUUCACAGAACUAGAACAAAAAAUUUCACAAUUUGUAUGGAAACACAAAAGACCCCGAAUAACCAAAGCAAUCUUGACAAUGAAAAAUGGAGCUGGAGGAAUCAGCCUUCCUGGCUUCAGACUAUACUACAAAGCUACAGUAAUCAAGACAGUAUGGUACUGGCACAAAAACAGAAAUAUAGAUCAGUGGAACAGGAUAGAAAGCCCAGAGAUAAACCCACGCACAUAUGGUCACCUUAUCUUUGAUAAAGGAGGCAAGAAUAUACAGUGGAGAAAAGACAGCCUCUUCAAUAAGUGAUGCUGGGAAACUGGACAGGUACAUGUAAAAGUAUGAAAUUAGAACACUCCCUAACACCAUAGACAAAAGUAAACUCAAAAUGGAUUAAAGACCUAAAUGUAAGGCCAGACACUAUCAAGCUCUUAGAGGAAAACAUAGGCAGAACACUCUGACAUAAAUCACAGCAAGAUCCUUUUUGACCCACCUCCUAGAGAAAUGGAAAUAAAAACAAAAAUAAACAAAUGGGACCUCAUGAAACUUCAAAGCUUUUGCACAGCAAAGGAAACCAUAAACAAGACCAAAAGACAACCCUCAGAAUGGGAGAAAAUAUUUGCAAAUGAAGAAACUGACAAAGGAUCAAUCUCCAAAAUUUACAAGCAGCUCAUGCAGCUCAAUAUCAAAAAAACAAACAUCCCAAUCCAAAAAUGGGCAGAAGACCUAAAUAGACAUUUCUCCAAAGAAGAUACACAGAUCGCCAACAAACACAUGAAAGGAUGCUCAACAUCAUUAAUCAUUAGAGAAAUGCAAAUCAAAACUACAAUGAGAUAUCAUCUCACACUGCUCAGAAUGGCCAUCAUCAAAAAAUCUAGAAACAAUAAAUGCUGGAGAGGGUGUGGAGGAAAGGGAACCCUCUUGCACUGUUGGUGGGAAUGUAAAUUGAUACAGCCACUAUGGAGAACAGUAUGGAGGUUCCUUAAAAAACUAAAAAUAGGGGCUUCCCUGGUGGCGCAGUGGUUGGGAGUCCGCCUGCCGAUGCAGGGGACACGGGUUCGUGCCGUGGUCCGGGAAGAUCCCACAUGCCGCGGAGCGGCUGGGUCCGUGAGCCACAGCCGCUGAGACUGCGCGUCCGGAGCCUGUGCUCUGCAACGGGAGAGGCCACAACAGUGAGAGGCCCGCGUACCGCAAAAAAAAAAAAAAACUAAAAAUAGAACUACCAUAUGACCCAGCAAUCCCACUACUGGGCAUAUACCCUGAGAAAACCAUAAUUCAAAAAGAGUCAUGGGGGCUUCCCUGGUGGUGCAGUGGUUGAGAGUCCGCCUGCCAAUGCAGGGGACACGGGUUCGUGCCCCGGUCUGGGAAGAUCCCACAUGCCGCGGAGCGGCUGGGCCCGUGAGCCAUGGCCACUGGGCCUGCGCGUCCGGAGCCUGUGCUCCACAACGGGAGAGGCCACAACAGUGAGAGGCCCACGUAUUGCGCAAAAAAAAAAAAAAAAAGAGAGUCAUGUACCAAAAUGUUUAUUGCAGCUCUAUUUACAAUAGCCAGGACAUGGAAGCAA